CAACGGCUCAACAGAGAAAGCGCGCAGAUCCCUGGGAUCAAAGUGAGACAUGAAUGCCGCACUGAGAGAGAGAGAGCGAGGAUGAGGGAGGAAGAAAAGCAAGGGUGUGAGAAAAAUUACAAACUGGAAAAAAGGACAUUUUUUUGGUGAAGUGGUGGCUGAGGAAGCAGCCAAUCUCUCCGCGAGUCAGAACCCUACCAGAGUAUGGAUCUUUAUAUCCUGGCAUCAUCUCUAUACCUAAAGCCUGAAGCUGAGAUGUAUUCAGUGACCUGAGAGAGAGUACAAAAGCAUCAACCAGCGUAGCCUCAAUACCCAGCACCGCCAUAGUGUUUAACAUCCGUUCCCUCCGGUCCAACCUCCGCUUCAGAUUAAUCAGAAAGAUCUGAGGGGAAAAGAGAGAACGAGAGAGUCUGAGGAAUGAAGCAGAACAAAAUAAGAAAAUGUCACUUCAAAGAAGCUUAAAUCAGCUGAAGGUUCUCUGCAGGGUAACUGUCAUGAGUGUCCAGUCAAGCAAGACAUUCCAGAGAUUCUGUUC